rfam:Marine metagenome ctg_1101667241303, whole genome shotgun sequence.
CAGUGGGUCACGCCUCCCCAACGAGGCGCAACUAUCUGAGAGGGUAGAGACA